rnacentral:pre_miRNA from 1 species
UGCUGCCAUGAUGCCAGCUGCAGUGGGGGAGGUGCAGCCAGGGCUACGUGUUCCAUGGAGCUGGCAGGAGCCGGGAACAGG